GAUAACUCACUAAACCACGACACAAGCUGAGAUGCCUGUCAAUUGGUGAAAGGAGAAACCGAAGGCCGUUUCCGAGUUCUAAAACAAGUUAUCCAUUUGCUUUGGGAUUUGUAAAUUUUGUUUCUUUUUUUUCAAACAAAUCGCCGCCAAUUAGAAGCAAUUUCGACAAUACCCAGAAAAGUUUGCACAACUAAAAGUUCCCCAGAAUAAUCUGAAAGCUGGAAAUUGGGAGAUGGCAAAAGAAGCUAAUACUCUUUUCCUUGAAGAAUGGCUGAGAAGCAUUAGUGGCAGUAGCAGCAACAUCAGCUCCAAUAACUCCUCUUCCUCAUCGGCCCGAGCUAUUAUUCAAGCUUGGGCUGAGCUCAGGGACUCCCUUCAACACCAAUCAUUUCGUCCCCAUCACCUCCAGUCUUUGAAAACCCUCCUUAACUCUCAAAAGUCUCUUCAUGUUGCCGACCCACAAGCAAAGAUUGUCCUUUCUAUUAUUUCCUCUCCAAGCCUCUCUCUUCCACAUGAAUCAUAUCCUCUCUUUCUCAGGCUUCUUUAUAUCUGGGUCAGGAAAUCCUUCAAACCCUCUUUGCUUCUCGUUGAUUCUGCUGUGGAGGUCCUUUCUCACCUUUUUAAUGCUCAAUUUGGUUCUAGGAAGAGUCCUCUGUUCUUCUCUGAAGGUGUUCUCCUUCUGGGUGCAUUUUCUUUUGUGCCUACUGCGUCUGAAGGCUCCAAAACAGCCUGCUUGGAUUUGCUUUGUAGACUGUUGGAAGAGGACUACCAAUUGAUUGGUUCAUCAGGAGAACUUAUUCCUGAUGUUCUUGCUGGAAUUGGUUAUGCUUUAUCUUCUUCUGUGAAUGUUCAUUAUGUUAGAAUUUUAGAUUCUCUAUUUGGAAUUUGGGGGAAAGAAGGUGGGCCUCGUGGUAGUGUUUCUGAUGGGCUCAUGAUUCUGCAUUUGAUUGAAUGGGUGUUAUCUGGUUUGAUCAAUUUCCGUUCUUUUGAGAAAAUUAAUGUUUUUGCCCCCGAGACUCUAGAGACUUCAAAGGCAAACUAUGUUCCAUUUGUGAUUGUCAUGGCUGCAGCAGGAGUGCUGAGGGUUCUCAAUAGAUCCACAAUGAGUGGUCUGGGACUAGAGACUGUUUCCAGACUAAGGAUUUCCGCAGAGUAUCGAAUUGAAUCUGUAGCACAAGAUAUUAUCUCUAGAAUUGGUGUUAUUAAUAAAGAUAAUGAUCUCACAAACUGUCUUUUACUACAAUGUGUUUCAUUAGCUCUGGCUCGAAGUGGCUUGGUGUCUUCCCGUGCCCCUUUGCUUCUGUGCCUUGCUUCUGCAUUGUUGACUGAAAUCUUUCCCUUACAACGUUUAUAUGCAAAAGUACUAGACUUCUCACAAGGCAAUUUGGCUAGACUUGGGCAUGAUGAGGUCAAAAAACAUUUGGACAGUGUUCUUUUUAAGGAAGCAGGGGCCAUAACAGGUGUUUUCUGCAACCAGUAUGUUUCAAUAGAUGAUGAGAGUAAAGGUGUGGUUGAGAACCUUAUAUGGGAUUACUGUCAAGAUAUCUACUUGGGGCAUCGCCAGGCAGCUUUGAUUCUUCGAGGUAGAGAGGAUGAAUUACUUGGGGAUAUGGAGAAAAUUGCUGAAUCUGCUUUCCUUAUGGUUGUACUUUUUGCUCUGGCCAUCACAAAACACAAUUUGAAUUCAAAAUUCAUCCAGGACACACACAAGGACAUAUCAGUACGCAUACUGGUUUCGUUUUCUUGUUUAGAGUAUUUCCGGCGUAUUCGUUUACCAGAGUAUAUGGAUACAAUUCGAGGGGUUGUUGUGAGUGUUCAGGAGAAUGAAUCUGCCUGUGCGUCUUUUGUGGAAUCUAUGCCUUCUUACAUGGACUUGACAAAUGGCCCAGACUUUUCCUUCUCUCAGAAAAUGGAAUAUCUAUGGUACAAGGAUGAUGUUCAAACUGCUCGCAUGUUGUUUUACCUGCGUGUCAUUCCAACUUGUAUUGAACGUGUACCCUGCUUUCUUUUUAGGAAGGUGGUUGCUCCAACUAUGUUCUUAUAUAUGGGACAUCCAAAUGGAAAAGUAGCUCGAACGUCACAUUCAAUGUUUGCGGCAUUCAUGUCCUCAGGCAAGGAUUCUGAUCUGGACGAAAGAGUAUCAUUGAAAGAGCAGCUUGUUUUCUAUUACAUGCAGAGAUCUCUAUCGGGAUAUCCUGGCAUCACUCCUUUUGAGGGUAUGGCUUCUGGAGUUGCAGCCUUGGUUCGGAAUCUUCCUGCUGGAAGUCCUGCCAUAUUUUAUUGCAUCCACAGUCUUGUAGAAAAAGGCGGUGAGCUCUGUAGUAACACCGUCACUCAGGAGGCUGAUAUGUGGAAUAAUUGGCACGGAGAAUCAGAGCCUUGCAAGAAAAUCCUAGACUUGCUUCUACGGCUUAUUUCCCUUGUUGAUAUACAGGUGCUACCAGACUUGAUGAAGUUGUUGGCACAGCUGAUCGUCCAGUUACCUGAAGAUGGCAAGAAUAGGGUUCUUAAUGAGUUAUAUUCACAGGUUGCAGAGUCUGAUGAUGUUACACGCAAGCCCACUUUAGUUUCAUGGCUGCAGUCACUGUCUUACCUUUGUGCUCAGGCUACAAGUCGAAGUGCCACCUCCAGAGGGGUGCAAAAAGAAGUAAAUAUGACUUCUGCAGGAAGUACAGACUCAAGUAGACCAAAUUCACGACUCUGAGAAAUUGAGAUUGCAGAUGGAAGUCAUACGUAAUAGAGGGAAGAUCUGAGUGGGGCCAUCUUGUAGACUGUUUUGCCUGCAGAGAAGGAAAUAUAUGGUGCAAAUAUGGCUUUCUUAUCUUACUUUUUGUUUUUCACUUUGAGGUCAAUUAUUAUAAUAAAAACUUCUACCGGGUUUGCUAUCCUGGAAGCUAGUGUACUGACUGCUUCAACUGUCUUCUUUGUCCUGUUAGGAUCCAAGAGGUGAAGUGUUAUCUUUUAUAUUGUGGGAAGUGUUGAUCCACUAUCGAAAUAGAUUCACUGGAAUUGAGAUAGAAAAGGUUUCGGAUUCUGUAUAUAAAUUGUUUUGAUUUAUUUUGAUGGUUUUAAUCACAAUGGAAGGAAGCUCCUGUUGGUGGUGCAGAUUUACUCCAGAAUCCUGCAAUCAUGUCAGAAGCUCAACAAGAGGUCAAGAAAGAAGAAUCAAAUAUUGCUUGAGGCUCCAAUACUUUCAGGCGAUUGUGGAGACCUUUUCCGUAUAUAACUGAAGCAAAUGUGGAGAUCUGCAGUUAUGUCUCAAAACACACGUGUGUAAAACCCAACUCUUUUCUUCCCUAUUUCAUGGUUGGGGAUUGGUGACACGGGAUAGAGUUUUUGAGUUGAUUUCAUUUGGUGCAUUCCAGUGAUUCUGUCUUGGAUUGCCCUUAGCCUUCUUGAGAUGAUUUGCUUGAUGUUGGCUUCACAUGACACUCUUGAUUGGAAUCCUGAAAAUGCUAUGAAACUAGAGGAUAUGGACUUGGGAGUAUGACUGUUGGAUAUUUGCAGAAGGCUCAGCUCCCAAAUGCUAUUUGCGUCCAUGUUACUCAUCACAGAUUAAUGAGCAUAUAAGCAAGAAUGUACUGUUAUAUAAGUCCUGUCGCCUCACUGUAAUCAAUGGAGGACUUGAAAUCUUCAAAUGAACUAUGAAGAAAAUAAAGCUAUGACGCAGAACUGCAGUCUGCAGUUGCCUUCUGGAAUUCUUUAGAAGCUCAUUUCUAGCUCAAUCCAAUCACGGUCCCUAGACCUUCCUUCAUGAAUUGAAUUGGGACCCUUAGGGGCUUCAGGGAAAGGACAUAUUAUACCAGUCUUGAUGUUCUUUAGAUUCAUUUGACGAGAAAAGUUUUUCAGGGUUGAAUGAUGAACUGUAGACGUUGCUUUAGUUGUAUAAAGCAACUUAAUACACUGGAUGUGGGAUAUGUUAAAGACUCGAAGUCGGUUAUAUGCCAUGUGCCUUAUACUUCCUCUCUUUGCAAAACUCCAUUAAUGUGCUAAGUUACAAUUAUUGGACAAAGUUUUCUUUCAAACCAAGUUGGAAGAAAUUUUUUCAACUUGGUUUGUGAAAUUGAAAUCUGUACUUUGAACAUAUGACUUUUUCUUUUUUCUUUUUU